GUAGUCAUAUGCUUGUCUCAAAGAUUAAGCCAUGCAUGUCUAAGUAUAAGCAAUUUGUACAGUGAAACUGCGAAUGGCUCAUUAAAUCAGUUAUCGUUUAUUUGAUAGUACCUUACUACUUGGAUAACCGUGGUGAUUCUAGAGCUAAUACAUGCUAAAAAUCCCGACCCUCAGGAAGGGAUGUAUUUAUUAGAUAAAAAACCAAUGCUUUCGGGCUUGUUGGUGAUUCAUAAUAACUAAACGGAUCGCAUGGCCUUGCGGCGGCGACGGUUCAUUCAAAUUUCUGCCCUAUCAACUUUCGAUGGUAGGAUAGUGGCCUACCAUGGUUUCAACGGGUAACGGGGAAU
rnacentral:rRNA from 1 species